AUUGAACGCUGGUGGCAUGCUUUACACAUGCAAGUCGAACGGCAGCGCGGGCUUCGGCCUGGCGGCGAGUGGCGAACGGGUGAGUAAUACAUCGGAACGUGCCCAGUAGUGGGGAUAGCUCGGCGAAAGCCGGAUUAAUACCGCAUACGACCUGAGGGUGAAAGCGGGGGAUCUUCGGACCUCGCGCUAUUGGAGCGGCCGAUGGCAGAUUAGCUAGUUGGUGGGGUAAAGGCCUACCAAGGCGACGAUCUGUAGCUGGUCUGAGAGGACGACCAGCCACACUGGGACUGAGACACGGCCCAGACUCCUACGGGAGGCAGCAGUGGGGAAUUUUGGACAAUGGGCGAAAGCCUGAUCCAGCAAUGCCGCGUGUGUGAUGAAGGCCUUCGGGUUGUAAAGCACUUUUGGCGGGAACGAAAAGGACUGUGCCAAUACCACGGUUCGAUGACGGUACCCGCAGAAUAAGCACCGGCUAACUACGUG
rnacentral:rRNA from 1 species